GCUGUAGCUCAGUGGUAGAGCAUCGGCCUUGCAUGCAGAAACUCCCAGGUUCAAUCCCUGGUAUAUCCA